rnacentral:lncRNA from 1 species
UGGAGCUGUGGAACGAGAUUGUCUCUAUUCAGAAUCUAAUCAAAGGAGCUGGGUCUAUCUGAUACAUGCUAUUCUCACGGCAGAGGAGACAGAGAGCACUUUCCCAACCCCUUGAAUCAGAGCUGGCCUGUGACUUUCUGUGGCCAAGAGAAGGUGGUGGAUAUGAUGUGUGCCAGUAGAAGCCCAAGCCCUUGCAAACUUCUGCCCUCUCUCCAAAUCUCACCACCAUGGAAACAUGUGGAGACUAAAGUGUGGAAUUAGGAGAAGCCACAUGGAGAAGAGCUUUAACACCUGGAGGCCAUCCAGGACCAGCUGAUCACAAGUGCAUGAGGGGGUUGGGCUGAGAUCAGCUACUGAGGCCAGACUGGUACAGCAGACCUUCCAGCUAACACUAAGACCUGUGAGCAAAAAUAAAUGCUUAUUGAUAAAUGC